CACCGCGAGUUGGGUUCCUGUGUAACUGUGAAGCCUCACUAGCUAGCAAAUAAUAGCAAGGCAAUGCAAGCAAUAGAAAUGCGCGAAUACAUAGGUUGUAUUAUUAAUAUGUAUUAUGGUUUUGGAGAUAUGUAGCAGUUGCAGCUUUAAUUCGUGUGGGUAAUGGGGGUACAAAUAUGGCAGAGAAGUAGCUUCAAAAGUCGCUUGUCAAAAGUGAGCUUGUGUUUCUGCCAAAUCACAUCAGAAACGUCACAGGAUGGGCCCCAAUCGUAAUAUGAUUCGUCUAACAGUGAGAAUGGGCGUGGUUUUAACCUGUGAGGUAUAUAAUGGAAGCUGCUGGCCGCGUCCUAUAUUUAGCUUGCGUGGCGGUAAUAGAGUGGUUGAGUGAGUGGAUAAGCAAGACUGGAAGUGGGCCGACUGGUUCAUUGUUUAACUGGUUGCCAUGGAGGCCUAAUUCACCUCAUAAUUGCCCUGUUACUAGUAUACACGUGUAGGGGCAAAAGGGGCCUCGCCCAUGCUGUGAAACAAAGGGCCAGAGUUGAAUAAAUCUUGUAGAAACCACUCACUGUCCCCAUUUAUGUGUUAAACAUGUCGAAGUUGUCAUGAACCCUGUGAAAGGCAACAUUAACCCCAAGAGCAAAAGCUUACAGAUGAGAAAGUAGAAACAAAAGUCAUAAAAGAGUAAGAAGACGCCUCACAACGUUUCUGUUUAAUUCAGGCAAUUUUCAAGCCCAAUUGUCGGGCCCUCAGCCCUCAGCCAUUUGUAUGCAGAGAUUUCAUUUGGAUCUGCUCUAUACUAAUAGGAAAUUCAGUCGGGGAUUUAUUCGCUUCUGUCAGCCGAAUCCAAGCGUCUGACAGAAGCGAAUAAAAAAGGCACAUGACUUUUAAUCGCACAUAACCGCCUGCCGCACGUGUGGUUCUCUUUUCCCCCUCAUUUCCCUCAUUUACAUAUGCAAAUUAGGGUACGGAUUCGGUUCAGUAUUCGCCCAAACCGUUCACAAAGGUAGCGACGAACUUCUAGGUGAAAUUCAACUUUUUUUUUUCUUCCAGCUCAUCAGGAUUCACAGUGGUUAGACUCUAAUUCUAUUCACCGCUUCCGUCUGUUGUCGCCUAAACAGUAUUUUUAUAGGAACAAGAGUAACAGGUUUCCGGCCAUGAAAACAAACACUCCAUUCCCAUGGGGCGUGUAAACGUUUGGAAGUUUGUUCUAUGCACAUGCAAAUGUAAGUGGAAAAAUUCCUAUGUGUUGGUAAAGAAACAUGGCAUUAUCCUACCUACAGACUAAUGACCUCCCUGUAAUGUACAACCUAAGACCUUCUAAAUCGCUAGGGUAGCAAGUCACAUAGUCCAUUCUAAUUAUGUAUAAUCCAUGUCCUUCUUUGGAUCACUUGUUAAGUCAGGCAGGCGCCAUCUUCAGGCCUGGACUGGCAAUCUGUGGGUUCUGGCAAAUGGCAGAGGGGCUGCUAUAAAGUCCCAUAGAAAGCCAGUAUUUAAUGGGCUGGUGAGGGCUGUUUGGGCCUCAAUUCGGGCUGAUUGGGCCUCUGUGUACCUGAAAUGCCAGGGUCUGUUUUAAUUCUCAGUCCGGACCUGGCCAUCUUAGAAAAAUAACGAACGCUUCCUUCACCUCAUUCAGUCUGGCUGCUACAGUCGGCCACGGUCAGAUGCAGAAUUGAAUUUACGAAGUGAAAAAAAAGCUUUAAGGAGAAAACGGUCAGCAUGACCUAUAGGUAACUUCAAACAAAGAAUAAUUUUUUUAAAGAUGUUUUUUUCAUGUCAGCUUCUCUUUGAGGCGCAUAUGCGAAAAAAAAACUAUGUUGACCCCUGGAGCGCGUCACUACUGACAUAGCGCUCAUUAGGCAUCAGCGAAAGCAGCUCAGUAGAGGCAGCAAGAAGACAACGAUUAUCACGAACGCUCAAAACAAGUAGAAGCCCUCCUUUAGUAUGUAUUUCAUAAAUAAAUCUUCGAUCCGGCGUUAAAUACAUAUAAAGCUAUUUAUUAAUCAUUGAAUUUGUGCCGCGAUCUUGGCCUGCUAAGUAAAAAUGUGCGUCCCCUCGCAGCGCACCACAGGCGCUUGAUGCUGUCUGUUGGCAGUACAAACUGUACUGUGAUGCUUAGAAUAUGAUUGGGCAGGGGGCGUGUGCUUCAAGGUCAAUGAUGACUAUCGCAUAUGCAGAUUAGCAUGUGCGUCAUCAUGAAUAGGAGAAAGGCAGCGCCCACGGUACUUGCGCAUUAGAUCUAAAUUAUACACAAUGCACAUCAAGGCUGCCUCUGGCAGCAGGAAAGAAGAAGAAUGUGUUGGCGUGACGUCACCCGAGUCCAACGCUGCAGUCUUCCUAUGAUCGCUACUGCUUCCAGAUUAGACCAGGGAGAAAGCAUGUAAAAGGCUACAGAACACUUUUUCUGUGCACGUUUGACCCGAAAAUCCCGAACCAGAAGAUCAUUGCCCAUUACUGGGUAAUGCUCAACUCCCUGGAAUGCAGAAUGGGUGUUUAGAUAAAUAUGGAAUACAUUAAAUUAGAUUUCCAGCCCUCGGCGUAUAAAUGUACUAUUAGCAGCACAUAUACAGACAUAAUCAUAACUGUCUUGGGGCCCUAAGAGUUAAAAACAUUGAAGGACAGGGGCCCUAAGAGUUAAAAACAUUGGUGGCAAGGGGCCCUUUAGAGUUAAAAACAUUGAUGGCCAGGGGCCCCUUAGAGUUAAAACAUUGAUGGCCUGAGGCCCUAAAAGUUAAAAAAAAUUGGUGGCCUGGGGCCCUCAGAGUUAAAAACAUUGGUGGCAAGAGGCCCUAAGAGUUAAGAACAUUGGUGGUCUGGGGCACUAAGAGUUAAAUACAUUGAUGGCCAGGGGCCAUAAGAGUUAAAAACAUUAGUGACCAGGGGCCCUAAGAGUUAAAAACAUUGAUGGCCUGUGGCCCUAAAAGUUAAAAACAUUAGUGGCCUAGGGCCCUAAGAGUUAAAAACAUUGAUGGCCAGGGGCCCCUUAGAGUUAAAAAUAUUGAUGGUCUGCGGCUCUGAGAGUUAAAAACAUUGAUGGCCAGGGGCCCCUUAAAGUUAAAAAUAUUGAUGGUCUGCG